rnacentral:lncRNA from 1 species
GCCCCUUGAAGUCAUCACUGAGUUCUUCUCUGUUGGUGCUAAGCAAGCAGAAGAAGAGAAGCAGCAGUGAGCUGAUUGGUAAAAUUUUGACUGCUGGAGUUUUGUUUGGUUGUAUGGGCGGGGGUUUUCCUUCUGGUGUUUUGUAUUCUCAUAUGCAGUGGUUUUUUGUUUCUAUAGAUGGAUGUUUGAAACAUGAUUUCAGGUUUAUUUUC